GAAAGACCAUGUAGCUAGUAGACAGCAGAGACGGGACUGGAACUCAGUUCUGGAUGAUUCAGAGAACCCAAACAUCUGAGAGAGAAGUCAAAAGUCUCCGCACAGAAGUCCCCAACCCCAUGCCCCACUAGGUAAUGCCUGUGAUUUUCCCAACCCAGCUGGGACUGUUUGCAAUGUAUUGUAGGAAGCUUUCCCUUGAGCACGAAGGACAAGAAUACAAAUGGUCACCCACAGGCUCACUGCCCCUGACCUGCCCCACCUCCCAGGAAUCGGCUGCUGGAGUUCAUUGUGAUUUCCAUCCCUAG
rnacentral:lncRNA from 1 species